CGCCGCCUCCUGGGGCCGCUCUCCACUGCGAGUCCGCCGGGACUAACCGGGCGUUUGCGAGAGGGGGUAGCAAUCUGGAACACUCCUGACUGGCUCUUCAUCCCUCCCUGAUCUGAGUUGGCAGUCAGUCCACCAGCAGCUGUGGAGGAGGGCUAUGCACUGGGAAACUGACAGCAAGGGCACUGAAUCUUCUGCUCCAGACCCUCCUUCUCCGAGAACCUUCCAAGAAGGCAGGUGCCAAACGCUGUGAGUGCUCAUGCAGGGUCCUCCGGGGAGGAGGGAGAUGAAUGUCUCUGUGAGAUGCUCAGGAAAUUGUCCCCACCCACCAACCUGGCUGAGCCGUUGGCUGUGGGGCACCUCCAUGCUGUGCUGCACACUCCGCUCAUCUUCAUGAGAUCACCUUCCUGCAGGCGCUAACCCUCUGAUUCUUUUGAAAAGGAGAAAUCAGGUCUUGGGAAAGCCGGUGAUUUUCCUACAAGCAGCUGCAGGUAGUAUUCACACUCAGGUCUUUUGGCUUCCAGGCCAAAAGAGGUCUCUCUAGAAUACACCAGUACUCACUGAGCACAUACUAUGUGCAGAGACUGCUCUGGGUACAGGGGACAUAGCCAUGGACAGAACAGACUUCUCCAAAGGCCCUUAAGGCCAGGGCACUGGGGCUGCUUACUCCAUCUGCAGAGUUUGUGGUUAGACUGACCAGGCGCUCAGGUCUGGACGGGAAGCCCCGCACUGCAAUAAGGAACUGUGGCUGCUCUUUCUUCUCACAUCCAGGUCUGGGACUAGCUUCUCAGCCCCAGAGACAAAAGGGUACUUCCCAAACCCACCCCACUCAGUGACACUGGGCCAUCUCUGAGAACACAGCAAGUCCCUGUGGCCCCAGCCCACUGCCAUAGCGCUGUCUGCCAGAAUCCACACCUGCCUCCUCUUCACCCACCUACUGACUCCUGGAGAGAGAAAGACAAGUCCUUGGCCUUUAUGACACUAACUGCAAUAAGUCAGACACAGCUGCAGCAAACUCAGUGUCAUCAGAGGAGACACAAAAUGUAGGGAGUGUGUCUAUGAGGAAGUUUUCAUAUUUGCUGCUCACACUACAAGCUUCUCACUGCUGUUCACACCACAAGCUUCCUCUUCAUUUUGUUUAAGAAAGGUGGAUCCUAUCCCAGUUACUCCAAAACUCUGCAGUGCCAUACUGUGAAAUCCUAAUCCGACUGUACCAAAGGCCAGAGAGACCUCGGCUUGGCCCCAGCUGCCUUGCUUACUAUCCUCCUCACAGGAUCAUUUUGAGGUUGAAAUUGAAGCAUUAAGCUCACAUAGGCACCAUGUGCAUUUUAAAGCUUUUCCACUCUCUGUCCUCUCCACCAGCAUUGUUUGUGCUCCUGUUCACACUUAACACAUCUGGUCCUCGUCAUCUGUGGACCCCUUUGCCUUCACACUGUCCUCAGAGCCUGCUCAGCUGCCCAGCCCCAGUGCCUGGUCCAGAGGUCAGUUCACAGCAAGCACUCAGCAUUCAUUCUGGAUCCGUGUCUCCCAAAAUGCAGUCCCGGAACAGCAAUGCUACCCAGCCAUCUGAGGCCAAUUCAUUUGUCAUGUAAGGCAGGCACCAAAAGAUGGCACAUCCUUACCUAGAAAUCAGUCAUUUAUGUGUCAGGGAGGAAGACAAGAGUGUUCACUCUGAUCCCUGACUCCAGUCAGUUACAGCAGGAAAUACUUUUUCAAAACUUGUAACUGUGGCUGAAAAGCCUUGACACAAGUGGGGGAGGACACAAAGCAACUCUUCAAAGUUGGGAGGCUUCACACAGUUCAAAGCCCAGUGUAGAUCUGGAGUGCCUUCACCAAGGACUAUUUGGUCUAUGAGUGGCUCUCUUGUAUUUUACUCAAACAAGCUCCAAAAAACUUCCUCAUUCAGGUAGUCACAAGCCACCACUUUUUAGAGAUGAGGAAACUGUUGCUCAGAAGGUUUAAGUGACUCAGAGAUAGUAAGUGGAGAAUUGGACACAUGCUUGCAUGCACAUACACAUGCACACGCACGCGCAUGUGCGCACACACACACAAACACACACUCCACCCAAUGUGAGGAUGGAUACAAUCAGACCUUCAAUCCCAGUCACUCACAUACCUGAAGACACCUGUCUUUCUGUCUCUGUAUCCAUCUGCCCUGCAAAUCUAUACCCUCCUGUCAGUAUUUGGUGGAUGGAAACCUCAGUUUCUCUCGUCAGCUCUCUUCUUUGACAAGAGAAUCGAGCCAUCCUGGCUCUGUCUUUCUGCAGCUUAAAAAAAUAAAAUAAAUAAAUAACCACACACACAGAUAUUGUGCACACACCCCCUAGUGGCCACAUGUGGAGGCACAUGCCCCACAAAGUUUGCGUUGGGGUUGAUAACCACUUGAGUUUGAGAAGGAAACCCCAGAUAGGAUUGCAACUCCAUCCUAGGAAGGAGGAUGGUGAAAGAUGAUCUUAUGUGGAAGACAGUGAAAAUGGAAAAAGACAAAGAAAAGGGGAGGAGAAAGAAAAAUGUGAUGGAGAAAAAGAAGGCAGGAGAACCAAAGGAAGAUUAAAGAAAGGUAUAUAGAAUAGGAGGAGUGAGAGAAAAAAAUAAGGCAAGCUUAAAGGAGGGACGUUUCUCAAUGUGAAGUCUUUCUCUAUUUCAAAUAUAAGCACAAAAAGUAAUGAUGGAAAAUAAUGCGAAUUGGUGUGUCCAGGGUCAGCUGGCCAUCCUGUACACAGGCAGGUGGGGACAGACGAGCCAAGGAUGAGAGGUGACAGGGCCCGUAUCUGACCCCGUCACUGCCUGACUUGGUAAUAUUUUCAGAAUCCAAAGCUUUCUCUGUCCCUAUUUCUGAGCUUGUAAAGGGUAGCUAAUAGCAGUUGUUUGUUGAGUUCUGAUGAGAACAAUAAAGAUUUGCAGAGAAAACCCUGAAAAGUGCUCUAAGCUCUUGGACAUAACCAUCACAGAAAUGUGUUUUGUUAUUUUGCUCAAUGCAGCAAAAACCCUCCAUCCUUUGCUUCCUGGUGUAAAAGGUUAUAUGUGAUGCUGGAGUGCCAAAGUACUUGGUGUAUUUCAACAGUGCAUCAAGUUAUCACCACCUCUGGUGCUUUGGAAGAUGCUGUGAUUUGGAAAGCACUGUCGAAAUGUAAAACAUUAUUGCCACAGUAGUAAAAAUAUCCGUGUCCAUCUCCUAGUCCACUAUUUCUUGUCAGGAUGCAUAGAGAUACACAUGAAACAAUUCUGUACACAUUAGUAGAAUGUUUUACAGCAAAACUGCACAUAUCUGAGUUUGGCAAAAUAAUCAGAAACAAAAUAUUUCUGUCAGUGUCAAGUUACCCUUAGUGUCCGAACAGCUACCAAGGGGGUGAUAAAGUGUUUAGUGCCCACUGCAAAUGUGAACACAUCCGGGUUUCAUAGAAAAAUGCCAGCUUGGGCUUGUGUUUUUCUUUAGUUAAGAAAGGAAGAAACAAACUUAACAAAAAUGGCUGUGGAAAAAGAAUGGACAUAAAGCUGAGAUUGUGGACUUAAGUUAGAUCACUGAAUUACAAGAGAAACAUUUUUUCUCAAAAUCAAAGUCGACUUUUGUUGGUGACUCAACUGCAAACUCACUGAACGUCUCUGUGAAUUUCAUUCUUUGGCGUUUCUCUAGCGUAGCACUAGCCUUCCCACUAAUAUCAGCCCUCAUCACCACCAUGUCUGGAUUUAUACCAAGAGGAGACACAAUGCCUCAAAAUCCAUUGCUUGUUGUUAAUGGAGAGAUUGCGGUUACUGGUUAUACCUGGGCAACCUCGAUCAACUUUAUCACACCUCUAAUGACAGCUGGCAUGUGCAACGCUCCAGCUUCCUCUGGCAAAUCUUAUCCUGAGAGCAAAUUCUCUCUCAGUCUUCGUAGCCAUACCUGUUGGUCUGCAAGCAUUAGCAACUUAGAUAUACAGACUAUCAUGAUCUGUGCACAGUUCAAGAGUAAGUUACCCUUGAGCAUAUGGCGGUUGAGGCCACAAGUUAAGGAGUCUGAUACCACUGUGCGCCUGCCCCUAAUAAUCUGGGAGCUUUGGGGCAAGGCAGCCUCUUUGUGCCUCUCUUUCUGCACUUGCAAAAUGAAGGCAGUAUUACCCCCUCCCCUGCAAACAGUUACUUUAGGACCUCCAUGAGUGGCAUGUAUUUAAAGUGUUUAUCACAGAACCUGACACGCCAGGGGCAUAGAAUGGGUGCAGCAUCAGUAGAGCAGCACUGUCCAAAAUUAAUGUGAGCCACAUGUUUAAUUUUAAAUUUUCUAGAAGCCAGUUGACAAUGUGAAAAGAAACAGAUGAAGUUAGUUUCAAUAGGAUUAUUUAAUCCAAUGUAUCCAGAAUACUGUUUCAAUAUAUAAUCAAUAAUUUUAAAAUA
rnacentral:lncRNA from 1 species